rnacentral:rRNA from 1 species
AUGUGGGCUACCAAAAUUAGUAGAACACCGUGUAAAACUUUAGUGUGGAAUGUCAGGGGCCUUAAUAGCCCAGCGCCCUGUUGCGCAAUAUAUCAGGUGGUCCAGGUGGCUAAUCGAAGCAUUCUAUGCUUCCAGGAAAGUAAAAUGGAGGUGAUCACACCUCAUGUUGUGAACCACUAUGGGGGAAAUAAAUUUGAAUACUUUUACUGCCUACCAGCGUCAGGAACGAGAUGAGGUACUCUCCUUGCAUGGGACACCUGGGUGGUGUCCAUAUCCCACCCCACUACACGUCUAAUGCUUUAA